rnacentral:rRNA from 1 species
UGGCGGCAGGCCUAACACAUGCAAGUCGAGCGGAUGAAGGGAGCUUGCUCCUGGAUUCAGCGGCGGACGGGUGAGUAAUGCCUAGGAAUCUGCCUGGUAGUGGGGGAUAACGUCCGGAAACGGGCGCUAAUACCGCAUACGUCCUGAGGGAGAAAGUGGGGGAUCUUCGGACCUCACGCUAUCAGAUGAGCCUAGGUCGGAUUAGCUAGUUGGUGGGGUAAAGGCCUACCAAGGCGACGAUCCGUAACUGGUCUGAGAGGAUGAUCAGUCACACUGGAACUGAGACACGGUCCAGACUCCUACGGGAGGCAGCAGUGGGGAAUAUUGGACAAUGGGCGAAAGCCUGAUCCAGCCAUGCCGCGUGUGUGAAGAAGGUCUUCGGAUUGUAAAGCACUUUAAGUUGGGAGGAAGGGCAGUAAGUUAACACCUUGCUGUUUUGACGUUACCAACAGAACAAGCACCGGCUAACUUCGUGCCAGCAGCCGCGGUAAUACGAAGGGUGCAAGCGUUAAUCGGAAUUACUGGGCGUAAAGCGCGCGUAGGUGGUUCAGCAAGUUGGAUGUGAAAUCCCCGGGCUCAACCUGGGAACUGCAUCCAAAACUACUGAGCUAGAGUACGGUAGAGGGUGGUGGAAUUUCCUGUGUAGCGGUGAAAUGCGUAGAUAUAGGAAGGAACACCAGUGGCGAAGGCGACCGCCUGGACUGAUACUGACACUGAGGUGCGAAAGCGUAGGGAGCAAACAGGAUUAGAUACCCUGGUAGUCCACGCCGUAAACGAUGUCGACUAGCCGUUGGGAUCCUUGAGAUCUUAGUGGCGCAGCUAACGCGAUAAGUCGACCGCCUGGGGAGUACGGCCGCAAGGUUAAAACUCAAAUGAAUUGACGGGGGCCCGCACAAGCGGUGGAGCAUGUGGUUUAAUUCGAAGCAACGCGAAGAACCUUACCUGGCCUUGACAUGCUGAGAACUUUCCAGAGAUGGAUUGGUGCCUUCGGGAACUCAGACACAGGUGCUGCAUGGCUGUCGUCAGCUCGUGUCGUGAGAUGUUGGGUUAAGUCCCGUAACGAGCGCAACCCUUGUCCUUAGUUACCAGCACCUCGGGUGGGCACUCUAAGGAGACUGCCGGUGACAAACCGGAGGAAGGUGGGGAUGACGUCAAGUCAUCAUGGCCCUUACGGCCAGGGCUACACACGUGCUACAAUGGUCGGUACAAAGGGUUGCCAAGCCGCGAGGUGGAGCUAAUCCCAUAAAACCGAUCGUAGUCCGGAUCGCAGUCUGCAACUCGACUGCGUGAAGUCGGAAUCGCUAGUAAUCGUGAAUCAGAAUGUCACGGUGAAUACGUUCCCGGGCCUUGUACACACCGCCCGUCACACCAUGGGAGUGGGUUGCUCCAGAAGUAGCUAGUCUAACCGCAAGGGGGACGGUUACCACGGAGUGAUUCAUGACUGGGGUGAAGUCGUAACAAGGU